UUCCACAUCUUCUCUCCCACCUCUUUCAUCUUCCCCUUUUCACACUUCACCUCUCUCUACACUUUCUUUCUCUUUCUUUUUUUUCAUCCUUAGCUUUAAACUAUUCUUCUUAAAUUCUAGUCACAAGAAAAGUGUUCAAUUUGAACCUAUAGCUAAUUACAAAAACAUCUACAUGUUCAUUCUCCAAAAAGUAGUACUACUUAUCCAAAACCAGAUUUAAUCAUUCUCAAAAACCCUAAUACUUCAAAAAAAAAAGAAGGUGUGCUCUUGCUUUUGUCACAAGGCUUCUCAACAACUCAUACAUAUCAACAUAUAUAGAAAGAAAGGAGAGAGAAAUUGUUUUUAUGGCUUGAAGGGCAUAUGUCAUACAUGUUAUAAGUGGUGAAAAGUCCACCGCCAUGAAGUUUCCGGCAAGCCGUGAAGUUAAUCGUACGUAGGAGGUGACAGAUUAAAAGUCAUUAAUUUAGCUUUGCAAGAAGGAAAAAAAUAAUACUCAAGAUGUUUCAGCACAACAUGUUCGAUAGCCACACUUUUUUGCUUGAUAUGACCCGUAAAACACCCGAAAAUGAGCUGGAUUUAAUUAGAGAUGAUGAAUUCGAGACCAAAUCGGGUACUGAUAUCAUGGAAGCCCCGUCUGGAGACGAUCAAGAUCCUAAUAAACGUCCCAAGAAGAAGCAGUAUCAUCGACACACACAACAUCAAAUCCAAGAAUUAGAGUCGUUUUUUAAAGAAUGUCCACAUCCUGAUGAUAAACAAAGAAAAGACUUGGGGAAAAGAUUAGGGUUAGAGCCUUUGCAAGUGAAGUUUUGGUUCCAAAACAAACGUACUCAAAUGAAGUCUCAGCAUGAACGACAUGAAAACACACAAUUGAGGAAUGAGAAUGACAAACUUCGUGCUGAAAAUAUAAGGUAUAAAAAAGAACUUACCACUGCAGCAUGUCCAAAUUGUGGCGGGCCUGCUGCCAUAGGUGAAAUGUCAUUUGAUGAACAACACUUGAGGAUUGAAAAUGCUCGUCUAAGAGAAGAGAUUGACAGGAUAUCUGGAAUUGCAGCUAAAUAUGUUGGUAAACCAAUGCUUAAUUAUCCUCAACUUCCAUCACUUGGACCACCAAAUCGUUCAUCACUUGAUCUUGGCAUAACUGCAGCCAAUCUUGGUCAUCAAUUAGGAGAAAUGUACACUACUACUAGUACUACUAGUGCUGGUGAUCUUCUUAGAUCAAUUUCUGGACUAACUGAUGCGGACAAACCAAUUAUAAUUGAAUUAGCUGUUGCAGCAAUGGAGGAAUUAAUUCGAUUGGCUCAAAUCGAAGAACCCUUGUGGAUUAAUCAAAGUUCCGAAAAUAAUAAUUCUACUGACGUUGCGUUAAAUGAGGAGGAAUAUGUUCGUACAUUUCCUCGAGGGAUUGGACCAAAGCUACUAGGUUUAAAAUCGGAAGCGUCAAGGGAAUCGGCCGUUGUCAUUAUGAAUUACGUUAAUUUAGUGGAAAUUUUGAUGGAUGUGAACCAAUGGGCAAGCUUUUUCACUAGCAUAGUGUCUAAAGCAACUAUUUUGGAAGUCCUAUCGACUGGAGUCGCAGGAAACUACAAUGGAGCUUUGCAAGUGAUGACAGCUGAGUUUCAAGUUCCCUCACCACUUGUUCCGACUCGCGAAAACUAUUUCUUAAGGUAUUGUAAGCAGCAUGGUGAUGGAACUUGGGUAGUGGUCGAUGUAUCCUUGGACAAUUUGAGGUCUACUUCAGUGUCUCGUUGUAGAAGGAGGCCAUCUGGUUGCUUAAUUCAAGAAUUGCCCAAUGGGUACUCCAAGGUUACAUGGAUCGAACAUGUUGAAGUGGAUGAUAGAGCUGUCCACAGCAUCUAUAGACCUCUUGUGGAUUCAGGUCUGGCAUUUGGUGCAAAAAGAUGGGUUGCUACAUUAGAAAGACAAUGUGAACGACUUGCAAGUGUAAUGGCUAGUAACAUCCCAACUGGAGAUGUUAUUACAAGUCCAGAAGGUAGAAAAAGUAUGUUAAAACUUGCUGAGAGGAUGGUGAUGAGUUUUUGUGCUGGAGUUGGUGCAUCAACUGCCCAUACAUGGACAACAUUAUCUGGAAGUGGUGCUGAUGAUGUUAGAGUCAUGACUAGAAAAAGCAUUGAUGAUCCAGGCAGGCCUCCUGGUAUUGUGCUAAGUGCAGCAACUUCAUUUUGGAUGCCAGUUCCUACAAAGACAGUCUUUGACUUUCUUAGAGAUGAAAACUCUAGAAAUGAGUGGGAUAUUCUUUCAAAUGGUGGCCUAGUUCAAGAAAUGGCACAUAUUGCAAAUGGUCGUGAUUCUGGCAAUAGUGUCUCACUACUGCGAGUUAAUAGUGGAAAUUCAAGCCAGAAUAAUAUGUUGAUACUCCAAGAGAGCUGCCUAGACACCACAGGAUCCUAUGUUAUUUACGCGCCAGUUGAUAUUGCUGCAAUGAAUGUGGUGUUAAGUGGUGGUGAUCCCGACUAUGUUGCUCUUUUGCCUUCGGGUUUUGCAAUACUCCCUGACGGCUCUAGUAAUGCUGGUGGUGGUUCGUUAUUGACCGUUGCAUUUCAAAUACUAGUUGAUUCUGUCCCAACAGCAAAACUUUCUCUUGGAUCAGUUGCAACUGUUAAUAGUCUCAUCAAGUGUACUGUUGAAAGGAUCAAAGCUUCCAUACCAUGCGAAAAUGCUUAACCGGAAUCUAAGGACCAACUGGAGCAUGGAUCGAGAGCCCAAUCGGGAAUGAACCUGACUUUGAUACCAUGUAAAGAUAUGACACUUGCACCUAACUCAACCCAAAAGGAGGAAAAAGAAAACAGAAGGAUGAGUUUACAUAUAUUUGUAGUUGUGGAGAAAGGGAAGAAGUCAAGAACGCACCUCAAGUAAUUAGGUUCGGGUAUUGACUUCAAUUAAUUAAUUUUGAUGUAAACAAAUUCCUUCUUUUAUUUCUUUGAAUUCCCAUUAGUUGAAAUCAAGUUUUGUUUUUUAAUUAUUGUUUUGGUUUUACUUUUACUUGUGGAGAAGGUCCUUUCUUCAACAAUUAACUUUUAUGAAAUAUUAAAAAUUUCUAGUAGUCACUUUA